rnacentral:rRNA from 1 species
UACGGGGGGGGUAAGUGUUGUUCGGAAUUACUGGGCGUAAAGGGCUCGUAGGCGGCCAACUAAGUCAGACGUGAAAUCCCUCAGCUUAACUGGGGAACUGCGUCUGAUACUGGAUGGCUUGGAUUCGGGAGAGGAAUGCGGAAUUCCAGGUGUAGCGGUGAAAUGCGUAGAUAUCUGGAGGAACACCGGUGGCGAAGGCAGGUCUCUGGGCCACUACUGACGCUGAGAAGCGAAAGCAUGGGGAGCGAACAGG